AGAGCCAGGUUGAACUGGGAUUGAGGGAGUGAACUGGGAUUGAGGGAGCAGAGCCAGGGUGGAACUGGGAUUGAGGGAAUGAACUGGGAUUUGGGGAGCAGGGCCAGGGUGAACUGGUGAGUUUUGGGAGCACAUCCAGAGCAGGCUGGGUGUGCUGAGGGGCAGAGCCCAGCCCAGGGGGGCCGUGGGGGUGCAGCCCCUCCCCUGCUGUGCCCCUGGCUGUGCAGAUGCUCUCUGAGAGGGGAGGACUGGA